UGUGUGAAAAAUCAAUGGACACCCCAGGAAUGGAAGAUGGUUUGCAGACGUGUUACCUUGGAGGUACUGUUUGAACCAGAAAGCCUUCCUGUAGAACCAUACCGUGGGCCACUCAACCGACCCUUGGGUAAACUCUAACUGCUGUACCACCACAUCGUCCCUUAUCAGCUUGAAGAAGCCAGUAAGGUCAUCAUCCCUGUUCCCUAAUGGCAGUAAAGGUGGCCGAGGUGGGUCCCUAGAUUCACCACAGCAGAGUGAAGCCAGCAUCUCAAAACUGGGAGUUCAUUCCUGGUCUAUUAAGGCUGUGCAAGCUGACUAUACAGAAGAAGCAAUCUGCAACUCCAGAGGCUCUGGGAGACUGCAGCCCUGCUUUAGUUACUCUGGAAGCUGACGAAUCCACGCAUGGCAAAAGCCUGAGGAGUCGAUGGUCCGGUGGAACAAAUAGACUGUCCGUAUUUUCUGUAUCUGUUUCCUUAUUGUGAUGCGCUGUCACCCUGUGUCUCUCGCUGUUAUUGUGAUCCUUGCUCUACUUUUCACCAUAGGAUUGGCAGAGGCCACCCUGGCCAGCUGGGAGUGUGAUGAGA